rnacentral:sRNA from 2 species
CCGGACGGAACGCCGAAUCCUGCCGCCGUCCGGCAAUCCGACCACUCAUGUACGGCAGGAACGGGGGACCCAGGUAAGCCGCCGAUCCGGUAUCCGGAACGGCUCGGGGUGAAGCCGCAUUCGCCUGCGGCCGGACGUCUCCAGUCCGAACCCGACAGCUCACCUCGUAGGCGACGGAGAGGAAUU